AAAUUGAUACUGAGUUUCCUUUUCUUGCCAACUAUAAAUUAGGGCCAAAACAAGUUCAAAAUUAUUGGACAAAAGGCUGAUAUCGUAGCAUUUCAAAACCACAAUGUGAAUGGAGAAGGCCAUGAGACCAAUGUGAUUUUAGUCACUGGGAAAAGAGACAGCCUGACAGCAGAGAAACAAGAGACGUUUGCCAAGGUAGCAGAGUCCAAGGGAAUUUCAAAGGAAAACAUCAUACAUCUCUCCGAAUCAGACACCUGUCCACAGUGAAG